rnacentral:tRNA from 1 species
GGCGGGUUGGCGGAGAGGUUACGCAGCGGAUUGCAAAUCCGUGUACACCAGUUCAAAUCUGGUACCCGCCU